rnacentral:rRNA from 1 species
UUUCCGUUGAUCCUGCCGGAAGUCACUGCUAUUGGAGUUCGAUUAAGCCAUGCGAGUCAAGAGUUCUUCGUGAACUCGGCGGACUGCUCAGUAACACGUGGGUAAUCUACCCUAGGGUCAGGGAUAAUCCCGGGAAACUGGGAAUAAUACCUGAUAGGUGAAGAUGUCUGGAACGAUACUUCGCCCAAAGCUCCGGUGCCCUAGGAUGAGCCUGCGCCCGAUUAGGUUGUUGGCGGUGUAAAGGACCACCAAGCCCGUUAUCGGUACGGGUGUUGAGAGACAUUGCCCGGAGAUGGGGGCUGAGGCACGGCCCCAGGCCCUACGGGGCGCAGCAGGCGCGAAAACUACGCAAUGCGCGAAAGCGUGACGUGGGAACUCCAAGUGCCUUGCCUUAGGGUAAGGCUUUUGUUUAGUGUAAGUAGCUAAACGAAUAAGUGCUGGGUAAGACCGGUGCCAGCCGCCGCGGUAACACCGGCAGCGCAAGUGGUGACCGCUUUUAUUGGGCCUAAAGCGUUCGUAGCCGGUCUGGUAAGUCUUUGGGUAAAUCCUCCGGCUUAACCGGAGGAAUUCCGGAGAUACUGCCAGACUUGGAGUUGAGAGAGGUCAGAGGUACCCCUGGGGUAGGGGUGAAAUCCUAUAAUCCUGGGGGGACCACCAGUGGCGAAGGCGUCUGACUAGAGCAAGCUCGACGGUGAGGGACGAAAGCCAGGGGCGCGAACGGGAUUAGAUACCCCGGUAGUCCUGGCCGUAAACGCUGCGCGCUAGGUGUUGCAUGCUCUACGAGGGCGUGCAGUGCCGAAGAGAAGUUGAUAAGCGUGCCGCCUGGGAAGUAUUACCGCAAGGUAGAAACUUAAAGGAAUUGGCGGGGGAGCACCACAAGGGGUGGAGUCUGCGGUUCAAUUGGAGUCAACGCCGGGAA